GGGGUGGGCAGGGGCACCCAUGGGUGCUGGGGGGUGGGGGAGGGGGGGCACCCACCUUCUCGAAGUCGAUGGGGUACAUGCGGAAGCCGGGCAGCUCCUCGGGGCUGGGCAGCGAGGCCUUGAGCUCCUCCAGCCGCCCGUCGUCUGGGGGGACGGGGGGGGGGCACCCAUGGGACAGCAGCACCCAAGGGUGCCCCCGGAACGCCCGCAGACACCCCCACACCACCACCCCCCCACCCACCCCCGGGGGUCCUGCGCCCGUGGUCUGCUGCCCCCAUUGCACCCGUGGGUGCUAUGAACCCGUCUCCUGCCCCAUAGCACCCAUGGGUGCUACAGAACCUUAUCUCCAGCCCCACAGCACCCAUGGGUCCCCAACUCCACACCUCCAGCCCCACAGCACCCAUGGGUGCCCCAAACCCUAUCUCCUGCCCCAUAGCACCCAUGGGUGCCCAACUCCAUACCUCCAACCCCACAGCACCCAUGGGUGCCCCAACCCCUACCUCCUUCCCAUAGCACCCAUGGGUGCCCUAAACCUGUAUCUCCAGCCCCACAGCACCCAUGGGUGCCCCAACCCCUAUCUCCUGCCCCAUAGCACCCAUGGGUCCCCAACUCCAUACCUCCAAACCCAUAGCACCCAUGGGUGCCCCAACCCCUAUCUCCUUCCCAUAGCACCCAUGGGUGCCCUAAACCCACC
rnacentral:lncRNA from 1 species